CUGCCCGCCCCACCUCCCAGCCAGGGCCUGUGCCAGCACCUGCUGAAUGUCCGAGGCCACCAAGAGGAAGGGCCCCUGCUCCUCCCAGCCAGGGAGGGAUUUCCCCGCAGGAGGAAGUCCACCUCCUAGGCCAAGGAGGCCGCUUCUGCUGUACCUUGGGCGGAGGAUUGAUUUUUUCCUGGGCAGUGUGCCUUCCUACCUCUGCUCCCACCUGGGGGUUGGAGGCAUGGAGGUCCCCGCCUCCAAGCCCGAACAUCAUCCCAGAAUUCCAGCUGUGCCGCUCCGCAACACCCCCCUUCCCGUGGCCCCCAGCUACCCUGAGAGUGUCCCUGAGCCCCAAUAAAGAGAGAGACUAUGACUUAUUGUAUUUAAUAUCCAUUUAUCAACAUUUUGUCACAAUAAUAAUAAAAAUAAUAUCUGUUUU
rnacentral:antisense_RNA from 1 species